ACUUGAUGGUGAGGGCAUUUACACAAGAGGUCCCUAAAGCGUUCCUAUGCCUUGAAAAAUUGUUCCUCAUCUAUCUAUGAGAAACUAGUGAUUGCCUUCCUCAGCU